AUAUUUACCUGGCAGGGGAGAUACCAUGUUCAUGAGUGGUUCUCCCCGGGCGAGGCUUAGCCAUUGCACUCUGGAUGUGUUGAUCUCUGUGAUUUCCCCAAACGUGAGAAACUCGACUGCAUAAUUUGUGGUCGUGGGGGACCAUGUUCAUGCUCUCCCC